CGUUUACUUAUUGCCAACAGCUACCGGAGUCUGAUCAUCUGAUUAUAACCUAAUCUCAGAAAGUCAUUAUGGUAUACAUAAAGUUAUUUAAUUUAUACCUCUAAUCAUUGAUAAAAAAUUGCUAACGAAAUACGAUUCACAGUGAAGUUCGGGUAAACGCCUGUUUUGAAGAGCUUUAAUAUUUUUGAUUUUCGUCAACAUUAGAUUUUAAAA